GCCCAGUUCCAGUGUUUCCACACAUCUGUUGGCAGCCCCUGCAGUAACAACCCCCCUCACUCACUCUCUCCCCACAACCUGGAUAUUUCAGACCAAUUUGCUCUUGUCAGCUCAGCCAUGAGACAGUUAAUUGCAUGGCUACAAACAGGGAACCACGCACAGGACUUCAGGAAAGUCACCAGCAGGGACAACGAAACUCUCAAAAUGGACCCAGAAGAGCUGCAAAGUGAUCAUAAUAAUGAUUUAGGUGGGCACACACAGUUUGAAGCAUUGAUCAAAGCCCUCAGCCCAGUUCAGCAUCAGGAGGUGUUACCUGAGGGCACUGGGCUCCCAUCACAGAUGGAGCAAAGAUAUCCCUGCAGGAGCCUCGAGCAUCAGGGUUAUUUGUGGAAGAGCAAGUCUUCAAGAUACCCAAAAAAAUCACACCUGUGUUCAUUUUGCUAGUAACACUCCAAGUAGGUUUUGGUUUUUUUUUAAUUUCACAGGGUUUGAUUAAGGCACAAGGAAGAAACCCAAGGUGGUACAAAAUCCCAGCAAAGGGAAGGGAGGGAGGAGAUGUUGGUGCAGCUGCACAGAGCAACCAGCUUGGUCUGAAUGCCAGUUUUUGGGGCUUCCUAAUGAUUUCAUCACAGACAGGACAAACUGGAUCAGCUGCAAGCUGGGUCCAUGCAGAUGUACCAGGAAAAUUUGCCUGUUUUCCUGGUGGAAGAUAUUCCAAAACCACUCAGCAAAUGGCAAGUGCUUAUU